rnacentral:rRNA from 1 species
UACGGAGGGGGCUAGCGUUGUCCGGAAUUACUGGGCGUAAAGAGCUCGUAGGUGGUUUGUCGCGUUGUUCGUGAAAACUCACAGCUCAACUGUGGGCGUGCGGGCGAUACGGGCAGACUGGAGUACUGCAGGGGAGACUGGAAUUCCUGGUGUAGCGGUGGAAUGCGCAGAUAUCAGGAGGAACACCAGUGGCGAAGGCGGCUCACUGGUCCGGUACUGACGCUGAGGUGCGAAAGCUAGGGGAGCGAACGGG